UACGUAGGGGGCGAGCGUUAUCCGGAUUCACUGGGUGUAAAGGGAGCGUAGACGGCCGUGCAAGCCAGGAGUGAAAGCCCGGGGCCCAACCCCGGGACCGCUCUGGAAACUGCCCGGCUGGAGUGCGGGAGAGGUAAGCGGAAUUCCUAGUGUAGCGGUGAAAUGCGUAGAUAUUAGGAGGAACACCAGCGGCGAAGGCGGCUUACUGGACCGUGACUGACGUUGAGGCUCGAAAGCGUGGGGAGCAAACAGG
rnacentral:rRNA from 1 species